rnacentral:rRNA from 1 species
GUAAGGGGGGUGGGGGUGGGGUGGUGAGGGGUGAUACUAAAUCGCCGACCGUAGGCCGCUACGCCCCCACCGCGCUGACGGCAUCGAUCCGACGCCCCUCCCGCCAACGGUCGCUCGUGGUCCGACGCUGGGUUGUCCUACCGCUGCUGACGGCCGGCCGCUACACCCCCUACCGCGCUCACGCCACAGAUCCGUAGCCCCUCCCGCCGUCGGCCGUCCGUGGACUGACGCCGGGUCGUCCUACCGCCGCCGGCUGUCUCCGGCGGGCACUCGUGCGCAGCAGCCCUUCGAGGUGCCGUCGAGCAGGCGUAGACCAACAAGACGUAGAGCCCGGCCAAGGCUGCUCGUACCUCGGUGGUGACCGGGGACGUGGAGGUACAGAGGUCGGUGGGCGGCCAGCGGGAGGAGGAGUCGAGACGACGGCGGUCGCGAACGCAGCAGCCUCGCUUCUCACCCCCCAGGAACCGAGCGGCCGCGGCGGGUUGGUGGUGCCCGCGCUUCUACCACAUGACGACGAGCUCUAUACCUGGGCACCUCUCUUUGCGCGAAGUGGCCGGUAUAGGCUCCGAAGAGGAGAUUCACGAUGUAACUGCCAAACGGAGGCCAUGACUUAGAAGUCGCCGUUCCUCAAACUCAAGCACCCCGAGCGCGAGUCGAGGCUAUAAUCCCUUUCCAUGGUUAGCGAUACCAAGUUUUGUUUACCAACACGGACAAUGGAUUAGUCUAGUCCGAGACUGACUUCGAUGAGGUCAUACGGGGUACAACACAAAUGAGUUGUAGUGUUGUUCAUAAAACAGAUACGUAGUACUGUAAAAGACAAAAAAUAUGUGUUUAAACGGUACAAAAAAAAUACGAAAAACGGUACUGUGUCUCUAGUAAAAGUGAUUUUUAAAGGUAUAGUGAUCGGGGAUAGUAUCAGUAUUCAAGGUGUGACAUCCGUUAACAUCUAAUUCUUCCCAACCGUUUAUUAACUUGUUCGUAUAGAUACAAAGUAUUUUGUACCGUUGAAAACUUAGAGAUUAAGGAUGGGAAAGCAAAAUCAUUCUGGUAAACGGUACCGUUUGAAAGUAGUUAACUGUACCGUUUAAAUGUUAAAAGUAAUGGAUGGUAAAAGACCAAAAUCAUUUAUCAACGGUACCUUUAAUAACUUUACUUAAACUAUGCUUAAAGGUAUGUGGUACCGUUUAAAGUAUGUUUCCUACCGUAAAAGUUAAUUUUGUGGUACCGUUUAAAUGUAUAGGUAAACGGUACCUUUAAACAAGUAUUAAUAACACAAUUAAAUGUAUGAGCCAUUAAAAGAGUAAGUUUUGGUACCGUAAAAAUUAACCUUAUGGUACAGUUUUAAAUUAUGUUUAGACGGUACCUUUGAUCUUCGAAUACGACGGUACAAACAAAACGAUUAAAUCAUGUACAAAAAAAUUAUCUUCGAAACAUCCACACACGGUACCGUUCAACUUCGAAUCCAAAGGUACUGCUGUUGUAAACACAACACAGAAAAAACGGGAUAGAUAGACUUCUCACAAAGGUACCGUUAAUGUAAAAAACAAACUCUUGUACCGUUGAAACUAGAAGAUUGAACUGUUUAUACGGUAGAAGUUUUGUACUGCGAAGAAAAGAAAACUUUUGUACCGUGGUACCGUUGAAACGGUACAAGUCUUUGUACCAUUUGUAACGAGAUAUACUGUUGUAAGUACACUAAACGGUACCGUGAAGAAAUAGACUUUUGUACUGUUUGAACGGUACAAGUUUUUCAACGGUACCGUUGAAAAGAAAAUUACUGUACAGUUUAAAAUGAAUUAAAAAACUGUACCGUUUAAAUAACAUAUAUAGUACCGUUAAAAUUAAAUUUGAUCACUCGAACGUGCACGUUACGUGCAAAACCAUCUUUAAGUAAUCUUUUAUUAUAAAUUUAUACUUUGAAUGAAGGAGGCAGGGUAUUACAUUCUGCAAAAAACCGUGGUCACAUCACAGUUUUUUGUAGAAUGUAAUACCCUGCCUCCCUCAUGUAAAAAUCAAAUGUAUAUCGCUAUAGAAUGUACUCGUUACCAAAUGGCAUG